GACGAACGCUGGCGGCGUGCUUAACACAUGCCAGUCGAACGGUGAAGCGCCUUCCUUUUUGGUGGGUGUGGAUGAGUGGCGAACGGGUGAGUAACACGUGAGUAACCUGCCCCCUUCUUCUGGAUAACCGCAUGAAAGUGUGGCUAAUACGGGAUAUUCUGGGUCUGUCGCAUGAUGGGUCUGGGAAAGAUAUUGUUUCGGUGGGGGAUGGGCUCGCGGCCUAUCAGCUUGUUGGUGGGGUGAUGGCCUACCAAGGCGGUGACGGGUAGCCGGCCUGAGAGGGUGGACGGUCACACUGGGACUGAGACACGGCCCAGACUCCUACGGGAGGCAGCAAUGGGGAAUAUUGAACAAUGGGCGCAAGCCUGAUGCAGCGACGCCGCGUGAGGGAUGGAGGCCUUCGGGUUGUGAACCUCUUUCGCCAGUGAAGCAGGCCUGCCUCGUUUGUGGGUGGGUUGACGGUAGCUGGAGAAGAAGCGCCGGCUAACUACGUG
rnacentral:rRNA from 1 species